GCGCGGCGAAACCUUCAUUUUUGUGUUUUGUGUAGAGGAGCAUUGGGUUUCCAUUGUGUGUGUACCACAACACAACGUGUAGGAAAAGAAAAAUGAGUGCAAGAUUUGAGUGUGUCGUGGGUCCAGUGAGCGAAUCGUUUCAGUGUCCGCCUCUUCCACAUAACAGUGGCUGCCCUGACCGUCACUCCUCGGCGCUAACUUGGCCACGACAGAGUGACGGUGUAAUGGUGUUUGGACAGCCACUCGCACCACGUCUCUCGUCACCUGUGCCUCAUAACAGUGCCACAUCAUUAAUAGCGUGCAUCGGAGCCACUUUGCUGGGAUACAAUACUAAUGAAACGUUGCCUGAAGUGGUAUCAGGGGCCUAACGCCAUCUACUACCAGGAGGCGGCGGAACUGGCUGUGGGUUACCACUGCUCCUGCCGGCACAGCAUGGGCGGGCAGCAUUGUCACGGUAGUGGUGGGCAGCGUGGCGCGACCAAGCCCUGAGGCGAAGGCCAUGUCGGCAGGCCAGGAGGUGCUAGUGGUGGUGUUCAGCACCGCUAUGCCCGUGCUGGUGUUGGAAUUGGUGUUGGUGAUCGUGUGCAUGAAGCGGAAACGUGUACGUGACUGCCCGUGUCGGGAUGAGGAGGCGCGGCGUCAGAACGAGCAGAACAUGGUGCACAACGCUGUGGGCGCCGUCAAAAGUGUCUGGAUCACCACAUGAUCUAUUCUCUAAACUUCCCCAUCAAGAAACCCUUCAACACCGUGCCACCACCUGCCCCCCCCUUGCAUCACCAACACGACACCCACCUCCACCACCAUCACCUCAACUAUCACGACUACAAGAAUCCCGCGGAGAACGCAUACUCCGCAGUGCCCAUGCGCAGCAGCAGGACUCAACAAGGAUGUGUCGCUGCUCUCGCUGGCUGACCGCCUUGAGAAGGACAUUGAGGCACCGCCCAGCCCCGCGUCACGCCCACCUAGGACUCCAGCGCCCCAUGCAAGGUGUUUCGGAAUUCCUUCCUGCCGCGCACAUACAGCCACAGGCUUGAAAUCAAGCGACCGCCGGCAGAGAGGAGCCUUCUCCUGGACUUUUGACGAGUACCUUGUUGAAGCACAGAACAUAGACAGCGUUGGAAAUUGGACUAGUACAGUUUGACCAGGGUCCAACAUUGCACCAGGAUGAAGUGAUACACGUGUGUAGAGGUGCCAGGAGGACGGACUCUUGGAACAAGCCUUCCGACAACAGUCAUCAGCCAUCAGCCAUCAGGCAAGCGUGGCGGAACCACUCUGUUGAUUUCCAGCAGCAAAACGUGCGGGAAACACACCACCGAGUAGCUUUCACACGGCUGACAGUGUCCACUCAAUCUCUGGCGGUAGAAGUAGUCGGUGGAGGGGGGAGGGUAGGCGAGGACGCAGCCGCUUGCACCUGGAGGAACGUGUGUGUGUGUGCUUGGGGAGAAGUAAUUAAACUAGUUAGGUAGUUAUAGUAGUGUGUGUGUGUGUGUGUGUGUGUGUGUGUGUGUGUGUGUGUGUGUGUGCGUGCGUGCGCGCGCGCUUGGGGAGAAGUAAUUAAACUAGUUAGGUAGUUACAAUAGUGUGUGUGUGUGUGUGUGUGUGUGUGUGUGUGUGUGUGUGUGUGUGUGUGUGGGGAGAAGUAAUUAAACU